CACGUAGUUAGCCGGGGCUUCUUGGUCAGGUACUGUCAUUUUCUUCCCUGCUGAUAGAGCUUUACAUACCGAAAUACUUCUUCACUCACGCGGCGCCGCUGCAUCAGGGUUUCCCCCAUUGUGCAAUAUCCCCCACUGCUGCCUCCCGUAGGAGUUUGGGCCGUGUCUCAGUCCCAAUGUGGCCGUCCGCCCUCUCAGGCCGGCUACUGAUCGUCGCUUUGGUAGGCCGUUACCCUGCCAACUGGCUAAUCAGACGCGGGUCCAUCAUAUACCACCGGAGUUUUUCACACCGGGGCAUGUGCCCCUGUGCGCUUAUGCGGUAUUAGCACCUAUUUCUAAGUGUUAUCCCCCUGUAUAUGGCAGGUUACCCACGCGUUACUCCACCCGUCCGCCACUAGGGCGUAGAAAGUUUGAAGUCUAGUAAACUAUACCCUCUCGCACAUCACCGCCCCCGUUCGACUUGCAUGUGUUAAGCACGCCGCCAGCGUUCACUCCUGACGCCGAGGACUACAAACGUU
rnacentral:rRNA from 1 species